GUUUCAGUCCACCGGGAUACCCUUUUUUGCCCAAGUCGCCCUUGUGGGGUUUUCGACUUGCCGGGUGUACAGUUUUUUCAUUAUCCCUAACUUUUGCCCGAACCUUUUCUCUUUUUUUUUCGGUUCGCCGGGAUGCCCUUUUUUGCCUGGACUCUUUUAUUCUUUUUGUCCAGCGGGUCUCUUUUUCACGAAGUAUCUUU
rnacentral:lncRNA from 1 species